rnacentral:rRNA from 1 species
AGUGAACGCUGGCGGUAGGCCUAACACAUGCCAGUCGAACGGCAGCACAGUAAGAGCUUCCCUUUAGGGGGGGCGGGGGGGGGCGGGGUGGGGAAAACACGGGAUCUUCUUUUUCGGGGGGGGUUACGGAGGGGAACUUACCCUAAUAACCGCAUAGAACCACGGGGUGAAACAAGGGGACUUUGGACCUUUGCGCGUUUGAUUGAGCCGAUGUCGGAUUAGCUAGUUGGCGGGGUAAAGGCCCACCAAGGCGACGAUCCGUAGCUGGUCUGAGAGGAUGAUCAGCCACACUGGAACUGAGACACGGUCCAGACUCCUACGGGAGGCAGCAGUGGGGAAUAUUGGACAAUGGGCGCAAGCCUGAUCCAGCCAUACCGCGUGGGUGAAGAAGGCCUUCGGGUUGUAAAGCCCUUAUGUUGGGAAAGAAAAGCAGCAGGUUAAUACCCCGCUGUUCUGACGGUACCCAAAGAAUAAGCACCGGCUAACUUCGUG